GCACUGCUGAUGAGACCCAACCAGGUCGAGACAGCUGUUCAGUGC
rnacentral:hammerhead_ribozyme from 1 species